CACGUAGGGGCCAAGCGUUGUCCGGAUUUAUUGGGCGUAAAGAGCUCGUAGGCGGCUCGGUAAGUCGGGUGUGAAACCUCCAGGCUCAACCUGGAGACGCCACCCGAUACUGCUGUGGCUAGAGUCCGGUAGGGGAGCGUGGAAUUCCUGGUGUAGCGGUGAAAUGCGCAGAUAUCAGGAGGAACACCAGCGGCGAAGGCGGCUCACUGGACCGGUUCUGACGCUGAGGCGCGAAAGCGUGGGGAGCAAACGGG
rnacentral:rRNA from 1 species